GAACGCAGGCGGCGUGCCUAAUACAUGCAAGUCGAGCGAACAGACGAGGAGCUUGCUCCUCUGACGUUAGCGGCGGACGGGUGAGUAACACGUGGAUAACCUACCUAUAAGACUGGGAUAACUUCGGGAAACCGGAGCUAAUACCGGAUAAUAUAUUGAACCGCAUGGUUCAAUAGUGAAAGACGGUUUUGCUGUCACUUAUAGAUGGAUCCGCGCCGCAUUAGCUAGUUGGUAAGGUAACGGCUUACCAAGGCAACGAUGCGUAGCCGACCUGAGAGGGUGAUCGGCCACACUGGAACUGAGACACGGUCCAGACUCCUACGGGAGGCAGCAGUAGGGAAUCUUCCGCAAUGGGCGAAAGCCUGACGGAGCAACGCCGCGUGAGUGAUGAAGGUCUUCGGAUCGUAAAACUCUGUUAUUAGGGAAGAACAAAUGUGUAAGUAACUAUGCACGUCUUGACGGUACCUAAUCAGAAAGCCACGGCUAACUACGUG
rnacentral:rRNA from 1 species